AGUGAUAGAAAUUGUGUCCUAAAACCAAUCAUGUGAUGGUUGAGUUCAUCCUUGUAUAUGAAUUAUUAAUUAUUGAAUAAAAAUUAUUUUAAUAUUUUUUAUCAUAAAGUGACAUCUUUCUUGAACUCUUGUACUGUGAUGAAGUCCUUAAAACUAUGCUAGUGUACGAUAAAGAGAAGAUUUAUCGUAUAGUUCUUAAAUAUGUUCGCGAUCAAAUGAUACAUUAUUACAAGAUGAUGACAUUUAUCGAGUAGAGGUCAUUGUGUGCCAUAUGGAUUGGUUAUCCUCUUAACCAAAGAGUGUGGUGACACUGGUAUAGCAUACAGGUGAGAUGUAAGAAUACAUCAUCACUGAACAAGUGACUCACCUGCUAAGCAUUCUGUUAUCAAGAGCUACUCACGAAACACAUAGAUAUAAGUGUCCUUCAGACCUGAGAUCACUAUAGUGACUUGCAAGCAACUCACUAUACUUUAGUGCCGGACUAUCUAAAUUUCUAAUGC
rnacentral:lncRNA from 1 species